GAUGAACGCUGGCGGCGUGCCUAAUACAUGCAAGUCGAGCGAACGGACGAGAAGCUUGCUUUUCUGAUGUUAGCGGCGGACGGGUGAGUAACACGUGGAUAACCUACCUAUAAGACUUGGAUAACUUCGGGAAACCGGAGCUAAUACCGGCUAAUAUUUUGAACCGCAUGGUUCAUAAGUGAAAGACGGUCUUGCUGUCACUUAUAGCUGGAUCCGCGCUGCAUUAGCUAGUUGGUAAGGUAACGGCUUACCAAGGCAACGAUGCAUAGCCGACCUGAGAGGGUGAUCAGCCACACUGGAACUGAGACACGGUCCAGACUCCUACGGGAGGCAGCAGUAGGGAAUCUUCCGCAAUGGGCGAAAGCCUGACGGAGCAACGCCGCGUGAGUGAUGAAGGUCUUCGGAUCGUAAAACUCUGUUAUUAGGGAAGAACAUAUGUGUAAGUAACUGUGCACAUCUUGACGGUACCUAAACAGAAAGCCACGGCUAACUACGUG
rnacentral:rRNA from 1 species